UCCCUGGUAGCUCAGACAGUAAAGAAUCCACCUGCAAUGUGGAAGACCUGGGUUCGAUCUCCAGGUUGGGAA
rnacentral:tRNA from 1 species